rnacentral:rRNA from 1 species
AUUGAACGCUGGCGGCAUGCUUUACACAUGCAAGUCGAACGGCAGCGCGGGCUUCGGCCUGGCGGCGAGUGGCGAACGGGUGAGUAAUACAUCGGAACGUGCCCAGUAGUGGGGGAUAGCUCGGCGAAAGCCGGAUUAAUACCGCAUACGACCUGAGGGUGAAAGCGGGGGAUCUUCGGACCUCGCGCCAUUGGAGCGGCCGAUGGCAGAUUAGCUAGUUGGUGGGGUAAAGGCCUACCAAGGCGACGAUCUGUAGCUGGUCUGAGAGGACGACCAGCCACACUGGGACUGAGACACGGCCCAGACUCCUACGGGAGGCAGCAGUGGGGAAUUUUGGACAAUGGGCGAAAGCCUGAUCCAGCAAUGCCGCGUGUGUGAUGAAGGCCUUCGGGUUGUAAAGCACUUUUGGCGGGAACGAAAAGGACUGUGCCAAUACCACGGUUCGAUGACGGUACCCGCAGAAUAAGCACCGGCUAACUACGUG